rnacentral:tRNA from 1 species
GGCUCGUUGGUUCUAGGGGUAAUGAUUCUCGCUUUGGGUUGCGAGAGGUCCCGGGUUCAAAUCCCGGACGAGCCC